rnacentral:tRNA from 1 species
GCCUUUGUGGUGUAGUGGUCAGCACGCUCGACGCGUAUUCGAGAGGUCCAUGGUUCGAUUCCCGGAAAAGGCG